GAGCUUCCUGUCUUGAGACGCUUUCUGCUUUCUCAUCUUCCUGCUAAUGAGUUGCCUUUUGUGUGUAUCCCACUUCCUGUCCCACCCAGCCCCAAAUGUCCGUGGAACCGGCCCCACUAACCUGCAUCCAGCUGCCUCUUCCACCUGGGCCCUGCUCUCAGAUGGAAGUGUCACCAAACACCCAGAUCGCCGUGCUCCUGCUUCUCUGGGUUCAAUGAGACCCUCCACCCAGAUGAGCAUGAGCCCAGCCAGGGUGGGCUGUUCAGUUUCUUCCCUGGGAAUCUGGAGCUGGAUUGAGCUGGUCUGCAGCCUGGUCUGAGAGCCCAGCAGGCUCGAGACACUGCAACCUGGCCUGGCCGUGGGCAGGCAGGGAGUGGAGGUUGCGGCAUCGUCUGGGCAGAGGAGCUGGGGCGUUUGCCAGAAGUCUCCAACGGGCCAUCUGGUCCCAGAGAGCAGAGCACACAGCCUCAAGAAAUACGAGAAAGGCGGCAGGGGCAGGACAAUCCAUGGAAGAGAAGACUCUGAAGCUCAGUUCUCUUCCACCUUGAAUUAUGCUGAGAU
rnacentral:lncRNA from 1 species